rnacentral:rRNA from 1 species
CGCUUGCGGGGUGGAUCAGUGGCGAACGGGUGAGUAACACGUGAGCAACCUGCCCCUGACUCUGGGAUAAGCGCUGGAAACGGCGUCUAAUACUGGAUACGAGACGUGAUCGCAUGGUCAACGUUUGGAAAGAUUUUUCGGUUGGGGAUGGGCUCGCGGCCUAUCAGCUUGUUGGUGAGGUAAUGGCUCACCAAGGCGUCGACGGGUAGCCGGCCUGAGAGGGUGACCGGCCACACUGGGACUGAGACACGGCCCAGACUCCUACGGGAGGCAGCAGUGGGGAAUAUUGCACAAUGGGCGCAAGCCUGAUGCAGCAACGCCGCGUGGGGGAUGACGGCCUUCGGGUUGUAAACCUCUUUUAGCAGGGAAGAAGCGAGAGUGACGGUACCUGCAGAAAAAGCACCGGCUAACUACGUGCCAGCAGCCGCGGUAAUACGUAGGGUGCAAGCGUUAUCCGGAAUUAUUGGGCGUAAAGAGCUCGUAGGCGGUUUGUCGCGUCUGCUGUGAAAUCUGGGGGCUCAACCCCCAGCCUGCAGUGGGUACGGGCAGACUAGAGUGCGGUAGGGGAGAUUGGAAUUCCUGGUGUAGCGGUGGAAUGCGCAGAUAUCAGGAGGAACACCGAUGGCGAAGGCAGAUCUCUGGGCCGUAACUGACGCUGAGGAGCGAAAGGGUGGGGAGCAAACAGGCUUAGAUACCCUGGUAGUCCACCCCGUAAACGUUGGGAACUAGUUGUGGGGUCCAUUCCACGGAUUCCGUGACGCAGCUAACGCAUUAAGUUCCCCGCCUGGGGAGUACGGCCGCAAGGCUAAAACUCAAAGGAAUUGACGGGGACCCGCACAAGCGGCGGAGCAUGCGGAUUAAUUCGAUGCAACGCGAAGAACCUUACCAAGGCUUGACAUAUACGAGAACGGGCCAGAAAUGGUCAACUCUUUGGACACUCGUAAACAGGUGGUGCAUGGUUGUCGUCAGCUCGUGUCGUGAGAUGUUGGGUUAAGUCCCGCAACGAGCGCAACCCUCGUUCUAUGUUGCCAGCACGUAAUGGUGGGAACUCAUGGGAUACUGCCGGGGUCAACUCGGAGGAAGGUGGGGAUGACGUCAAAUCAUCAUGCCCCUUAUGUCUUGGGCUUCACGCAUGCUACAAUGGCCGGUACAAUGGGCUGCAAUACCGUGAGGUGGAGCGAAUCCCAAAAAGCCGGUCCCAGUUCGGAUUGAGGUCUGCAACUCGACCUCAUGAAGUCGGAGUCGCUAGUAAUCGCAGAUCAGCAACGCUGCGGUGAAUACGUUCCCGGGUCUUGUACACACCGCCCGUCAAGUCAUGAAAGUCGGUAACACCUGAAGCCGGUGGCCUAACCCCUUGUGGAAGGAACC